rnacentral:rRNA from 1 species
UACGAAGGGGGCUAGCGUUGCUCGGAAUCACUGGGCGUAAAGGGUGCGUAGGCGGGUCUUUUAAGUCAGGGGUGAAAUCCUGGAGCUCAACUCCAGAACUGCCUUUGAUACUGAGGAUCUUGAGUUCGGGAGAGGUGAGUGGAACUGCGAGUGUAGAGGUGAAAUUCGUAGAUAUUCGCAAGAACACCAGUGGCGAAGGCGACUACCUGGCCUGUUCUUGACGCUGAGGCGCGAAAGCUAGGGGAGCAAACGGG